rnacentral:rRNA from 1 species
UACGAAGGGUGCAAACGUUGCUCGGAAUCAUUGGGCGUAAAGCGCACGUAGGCGGCUUCGCAAGUCGGAUGAGAAAUACCUAGGCUCAACCAAGGACGUGCAUCCGAAACUGCGAGGCUUGAGUACAGAAGAGGAUCGCGGAAUUCCCGGUGUAGAGGUGAAAUUCGUAGAUAUCGGGAGGAACACCAGUGGCGAAGGCGGCGAUCUGGGCUGAUACUGACGCUGAGGUGCGAAAGCGUGGGGAGCAAACAGG